CGUAAGCAUGGGAGAGGGAGGAGAAACUAUAGAACAACGUCGAAGCUCUCUCGCGGGACCUCUCAUCUUCCUUAUCGUUCUUGUCUUCCAUUUCCUCUCCCGAAGGCUGGAGCAAUUGAAGAAGAGGGGAUCAAAGAAUGAAACAGAAAUCCAGUUGCGGGCGGAUAUAAAGCAACUCCUGAAAGAGGCAAGCUCCUUGUCACAGUGAGUCAUUCCUCGGCAGUGAGGCAUUCGUUGCUGAUUUUAACGGGCCAUCAGCAUUUGCACAAGCUGCAAAACUUUGGAGGUUAGCAGCUGCUAAGGAGAAGGAACUUGCAAACUGUCUCAAAGUUGAGGUUUGGAUGUACGGGUCUAACUGGAGUCUGCAACUCUCCGGUGGGAAUCACUUUCUUUGAUACAGCUGACGUAUAUGGAC